rnacentral:rRNA from 1 species
CUUGCUUGGGGUACUCGAGUGGCGAACGGGUGAGUAAUACGUGGGUAACCUGCCCUCUUCUUUGGGAUAAGCCCCGGAAACGGGGUCUAAUACCGGAUAUUCUGCUUCUGCCGCAUGGUGGGGGUUGGAAAGGUUUUUCGGUGGGGGAUGGGCCCGCGGCCUAUCAGCUUGUUGGUGGGGUGAUGGCCUACCAAGGCUUCGACGGGUAGCCGGCCUGAGAGGGUGACCGGCCACAUUGGGACUGAGAUACGGGCCCAGACUCCUACGGGAGGCAGCAGCC